rnacentral:lncRNA from 1 species
AGAGAGUUUCAAUAGUGGAUAGAGAUUCAACUUAAAGAGGCACAUACAUAGAGAUACUCAAUUGGCAAGAAAGUUUUUGUGAUGAUUAUUACGUAGAAUCCGAUAGCAAAUGAAUUUGACUUUUUCGAUGAAGUUUGGCUGAAAGAUAGAAAACUACAAGCUUGACCAAAAUUUGCUCGUAUUAGGUCAAUAGAUGGAGUUUAUCAGAAUACUCUUUUUUUUAAAUGCAAUAAAUAAAAUAUAGAUGCUCACGUGCACAGACAACUAUCUGCAUGAUCUUACAGCUAAGAGAAUAGUUAUAUUAAUUUUGAACGAGUAAUGUACCCAUGAUUAGUUGGUUAGUGGAACGAGUUAUAUAAAUUCGAACUUGGAUCGACAGGUUCCGCUAACCAACUAAUCAUGCAUGAGCUCCCCUAUUUAUUGACCAAAGAUCUUUGCUCAGCUUUAU